UUGCGGUUAAAAAGCUCGUAGUUGGAUCUCGGCGGGCAGGGGGUGGUUCGCUCUUCAGCGCUACUGCCCCGCUUUGCCCGUGUGAUUGGCGGAGGUUUCGGGGUGCUCUUCGUUGAGUGACUCGGAGCGCCGUCAGGUUUACUUUGAAAAAAUUAGACUGCUCAAAGCAGGCUUUUCACGCUUGAAUAUUCGUGCAUGGAAUAAUGGAAUAGGAACUCGUUUCUAUUUUGUUGGUUUUCGGAAAUCGAGUUAAUGAUUAACAGGGACAAUUGGGGGCAUUAGUAUUCAGACGACAGAGGUGAAAUUCUUGGACCGUCUGAAGACUGACUACUGCGAAAGCAUUUGCCAAGAGUGUUUUCAUUAAUCAAGAACGAAAGUUAGAGGUUCGAAGGCGAUCAGAUACCGCCCUAGUUCUAACCAUAAACGAUGCCAGCUAGCGAUCUGCCGAGUUUUUUUUGUAGGCUCCGCAGGAAGCUUUCGGGAAACCAAAGCUUUUGGGUUCCGGGGGAAGUAUGGUUGCAAAGCUGAAACUUAAAGGAAUUGACGGAAGGGCACCACCAG
rnacentral:rRNA from 1 species